rnacentral:rRNA from 1 species
AGCAGCCGCGGUAAUUCCAGCUCCAAUAGCGUAUAUUAAAGUUGUUGCAGUUAAAAAGCUCGUAGUUGAAUUUCGGGGUCUGUCCAUUGGUCGGGCUUCACGGUCCGUACUGGUGUGAUGGGUUCCUACCUUCUGAAUAACCAGCAUGCCAUUUAGUUGGUGCGCCGGGGAAGCAGAGCUAUUACCUUGAAAAAAUUAGAGUGCUUAAAGCAGGCUAGUGCUUGAAUAGAUUAGCAUGGAAUAAUAAAAUAGGACGGCAUGGUUCUAUUUUGUUGGUUUCUAGGAUCACCGUAAUGAUUAAUAGGGAUAGUUGGGGGCAUUAGUAUUCAAUUGUCAGAGGUGAAAUUCUUGGAUUUAUUGAAGACUAACUUCUGCGAAAGCAUUUGCCAAGGAUGUUUUCAUUAAUCAAAGAACGAAAGUUAGGGGAUCGAAGACGAUCAGAUACCGUCGUAGUCUUAACCAUAAACUAUGCCGACUAGGGAUCGGACGAUGUUAAUUUUUAAUGACUCGUUCGGCGCCU